GACUCAUCUUAAAAUACCCACUUUAAAUUGUUUAGAGAGUAAUGACGAACAGUGAUGAUUCACUCAUGGUAAAUGAGCCAUACACACUUCCUCGGGAUGCCUUCGUUUUGGGAAAAAACAAACCGAUUUUUGAGGUGGCAGCUUCAGUGGUGGUGGCAUCCUCUUAGCUAUGGGACAUGAAUUUUCUUGGUGCAAAAACGAAUGGACAUUCAAGUCAUAUAAGCUUGCCUUUGUCAUCAGUUUUAUUCUAAUGGGGAAGUAAUAAGAGAAUGCCCAAAGUGGUGCUUAUAUUUGCUUAUUUCCUGUCCUGAAGCAUCUCCUUCCUAGAAGACAUAGACAUUUCUCCAUCAAGCAACAGAUGUCAAUGGCUUUAAGAAUGUCGGACAAACGAAAGCUGCGCUUUUGGAUGCAACUCUGUUGUCCAGAAGAACAAAUGUGAGGGAGUCUCUGUGGCCCUAGAGAAGAGAAUGAGCCUCUGGAAAUAUUCCGCACAGGAUGGGAGGAAAUGAGACGUUGACAAGUUCCCAGCAGCGCAGGCCGGCAUGGCAUGUAUUUUGGGGAAGAUAUGUAACCUCCUGGAGCCUCGUCUACGUCACCUAUAACCCUGAAGGACUGCUGUGUGGAUCUGCAAUAACAGAUAUAAAAUAUCUGGCACCAUGCCUGGCAUGGAAUAGGCCUGCUUGUUAAAAGCUACCAAGAAAACAAGACAAGAAAAUUUUUGAUAUUCUACUAUGGUUUCUGAGAGCAGAGCUUUGCAUGCUCAGUAUUCUGCAGAGAUGAAGUGCUGAUUUUAGCAUGUGACUAAGCUAUUAGCUGAGAGUAUAAGAUCAAUAGGGGAUCUCAGGAAAAGAUCAUGGGGCCACGUCUGGUCACCCUGAUAUGCAACAGCUAUCCAUCUUUCAGUAGAACUUUGGUUUUCGUUUGCUAGUUGUCAAUCACUACACAACAGGUUAAAGGGGUUUUGUUGACUAAUUCAUCUAAAAGACCUCACAUAAAAUAUUAUUGUUUCCAUGUGAUAUCAUUUCCUUAGCUAUUUUAAUGAGAUAAAAUAGAUCUAGC